AAAACUAGCCAGUUCCAUGGGUACGAAACCCAUUUGAGUGAGAGUAGUACUAGGAUGGGUCACCUCCUAGGAAGUCCUCAUGAAAGGGUUUC
rfam:Triticum aestivum genome assembly, contig: Triticum_aestivum_CS42_TGACv1_scaffold_050527_1BS